rnacentral:lncRNA from 1 species
CUUGGUGAAGAGGACAGAGAAGGAAGAACAGAUGUUAUUUCCCAUGAAAAGGAGCAUAUUUCAAGCUUUAUGGUAAUUUAGAGGAGAAAGAUAAUACUUCUUUUGGGAUGGCCAGGUAGGUUUUGCAGGACACAUGCUGUUUCCUUCCACCACAAUGGAAUAAAUAACAUUCCUUCUCAUGGAUGCUAGCUCAUACAACUAGUGUGACCACUGAGGGAAAAGGGAAUAGUUACCCAUUGAUUCCAGCUUCCUUUCCUCUAUCAGCUGUGUGCAAUUGCUGCCCAUUUGUCAAAAUUUCCUGCUUUCACUAUGUUCAUGUUUUCCUCUCCUUUGCUCAUAAACUUGUGAACUCCCUAAAAGUUGUGAUUAAUAACAUUUACCUUAGCUACUCUGAGUAUUUGUAGAAUACUCCCUUUGAGUAUUUGUAGGAUGGUGGAGAGUCUCAUGGUAGGAGGGAGUCCAAGGUCAGUGAUGUGGU